AACCCUAUUGUUAGUUGCCAUCAUUCAGUUGGGCACUCUAGCGAGACUGCCGGUAAUAAACCGGAGGAAGGUGGGGAGUGACGUCAAAUCAUCAUGCCCUUAUGACCUGGGCUACACACGUGCUACAAUGGUUGGUACAACGAGUUGCGAGUCGGUGACGGCGAGCUAAUCUCUUAAAGCCAAUCUCAGUUCGGAUUGUAGGCUGCAACUCGCCUACAUGAAGUCGGAAUCGCUAGUAAUCGCGGAUCAGCACGCCGCGGUGAAUACGUUCCCGGGCCUU
rnacentral:rRNA from 1 species